rnacentral:tRNA from 1 species
AGUUUUUUAGUUCAAAAAGAAUGCAGUGCUGAAAAUACUAAGAUGUUAAUACAAAAACUA